rnacentral:rRNA from 1 species
AUUGAACGCUGGCGGCAGGCCUAACACAUGCAAGUCGAGCGAGCGGCGGACGGGUGAGUAAUGUCUGGGAAACUGCCUGAUGGAGGGGGAUAACUACUGGAAACGGUAGCUAAUACCGCAUACCAUCAGAUUUGCCCAGAUGGGAUUAGCUAGUAGGUGGGGUAACGGCUCACUUAGGCGACUAUCCCUAGCUGGUCUGAGAGGAUGACCGGCCACACUGGAACUGAGACACGGGCCAGACUCCUACGGGAGGCAGCAGUGGGGAAUCUUGGGCAAUGGGAGAAAGGCUGACGCAGCCAUGCCGCGUGAGUGAAGAAGGCCUUCGGGUUGUAAAGCACUGUCAGCGGGGAGGCGUUACCCGCAGAAGAAGCACCGGCUAACUACGUGCCAGCAGCCGCGGUAAUUC